rnacentral:rRNA from 1 species
GACGAACGCUGGCGGCGUGCCUAACACAUGCAAGUCGAGCGAAGUUAUUCCUUCGGGGAUAACUUAGCGGCGGACGGGUGAGUAACACGUGGGUAACCUGCCUUAUAGAGGGGGAUAGCCUUCCGAAAGGAAGAUUAAUACCGCAUAACAUCAGAUUCUCGCAUGGGAAUUUGAUCAAAGGAGCAAUCCGCUAUAAGAUGGACCCGCGGCGCAUUAGCUAGUUGGUGAGGUAACGGCUCACCAAGGCGACGAUGCGUAGCCGACCUGAGAGGGUGAUCGGCCACAUUGGGACUGAGACACGGCCCAGACUCCUACGGGAGGCAGCAGUGGGGAAUAUUGCACAAUGGGGGAAACCCUGAUGCAGCAACGCCGCGUGAGUGAUGAAGGCCUUCGGGUUGUAAAGCUCUGUCUUUGGGGACGAUAAUGACGGUACCCAAGGAGGAAGCCACGGCUAACUACGUGCCAGCAGCCGCUGUAACAC